GGAGAGGUAGCGUAGUCUGGCCUAACGCGCGCGCCUGGAGAGCGCGUGGGGUCGUGAGACCCCCGUGGGUUCGAAUCCCACCCUCUCCG
rnacentral:tRNA from 1 species